AUGAACGCUGGCGGCGUGUUUUAGGCAUGCAAGUCGUACGAGUUUAAUAAAUUUCGCAAGAAAUUUGUUAAGCUAGUGGCAAACGGGUGCGCAACACCCUGGUAACCUGCUCCCGACUGGGGCAUAACAUCGCGAAAGCGGUGCUAAUUCCCCGUACUUUUUUGGAACGUCGGUUUCAGAAAAAAAGGCCAAAAGCCGGUUGGGAAGGGGCCUAGGUUCCAUCAGCUUGUUGGUGAGGUAAUGGCUCACCAAGGCUACGACGGAUAGGGGGCGUGAGAGCGCGACCCCCCUCACUGGGACUGAGACACUGCCCAGACUCCUACGGGAGGCUGCAGUCGAGAAUAUUCCUCAAUGGACGAAAGUCUGAAGGAGCGACGCCGCGUGUAGGAAGAAGGCCUUCGGGUUGUAAACUACUUUUUUGUGGGACGAACAAUGACGGUACCAUAAGAAUAAGGGGCUGCAAACUCUGU
rnacentral:rRNA from 1 species